rnacentral:lncRNA from 1 species
GGUUUCCUAGCAGAGCAGAAGAAAGACUUAGGAUGUGGGGUCAGACAUGCGUGCCUUGGUGUUUCGGUCUGUAGAAGGGGGACAAUGCCUACCUCACAAGGGUACCAGUAGCAUAAAGCAGAUAAGUGAAAAGUGCCCAGUUUAAUCUCUAACUAAGGAAGGCUGCAUAUAUGGCAGUUCCCUCAGCCACGCCCCCUUCCACCCAGUGGCACCGGACCCCUGGUAAUGCUCCCUUACCUUCUGCUCAAGGUGUGCUCUGCGCAGAGACACUCUCUGCUCUAGCUUCUGGAGCUCACGUUCAUGUUGUGCCUCUGUUUGCAUCUUGAUUUUGCUCUGGUAGGCGUUGAGCAGCUCCAUUUCCUGCUGGAGCUGUAGCCUCAAGGCCUGGCAUUCUGCUUCUUGAGCCUCAUCUAGCCGUAACGCUUGAGAGGCCAUCAUUUCAUUUAUACUCUGUUCAUACUGCUCUGCCAAAAUGGCAAGUUUUCUUGUCUGCUCAUCUUUC